rnacentral:rRNA from 1 species
UACGUAGGGUGCGAGCGUUGUCCGGAAUUAUUGGGCGUAAAGGGCUCGUAGGCGGUCUGUCGCGUCGGGAGUGAAAACUCAGGGCUUAACCCUGAGCCUGCUUCCGAUACGGGCAGACUAGAGGUAUGCAGGGGAGAACGGAAUUCCUGGUGUAGCGGUGAAAUGCGCAGAUAUCAGGAGGAACACCGGCGGCGAAGGCGGCCCUCUGGAUCGUUGCUGACGCUGAGACGCGAAAGCGUGGGGAGCAAACAGG